UGGGGAAUAUUGGACAAUGGGCGGAAGCCUGAUCCAGCCAUGCCGCGUGUGUGAAGAAGGCCUUUUGGUUGUAAAGCACUUUAAGCGAGGAGGAGGCUACUUGGAUUAAUACUCUAGGAUAGUGGACGUUACUCGCAGAAUAAGCACCGGCUAACUCUGUGCCAGCAGCCGCGGUAAUACAGAGGGUGCGAGCGUUAAUCGGAUUUACUGGGCGUAAAGCAUGCGUAGGCGGCUUCUUAAGUCGGAUGUGAAAUCCCUGAGCUUAACUUAGGAAUUGCAUUCGAUACUGGGAAGCUAGAGUAUGGGAGAGGAUGGUAGAAUUCCAGGUGUAGCGGUGAAAUGCGUAGAGAUCUGGAGGAAUACCGAUGGCGAAGGCAGCCAUCUGGCCUAAUACUGACGCUGAGGUACGAAAGCAUGGGGAGCAAACAGG
rnacentral:rRNA from 1 species